CGACUCCAAUUCGGGAUUAGACGUGUCACACCCACUUAGAACCAUAUUAAAGGCAACGGACAAACUUGAUGCUCAAGGUAUAAAGGGAAAUGAGGUAUUUGUGGAGUUAAGGAAAGGAUAUCACGACCUAGCUGCCACUUUGGCAUUAACUCAUAAUUAUCCAGCACCAAUUACAUUUAGAGCUUACAAAAAUGAAGAGGUUCACGUGACGGGUGGAAAGAGAAUCAACUCCAAUCUGUUCAAGCCAGUUACAGAUUCGACAGUUUUAAAACGUAUUCCAUCAGAAGCCCACAGCAAGGUUCGUCAAGUUCAUUUAAGUGAUGCUGGGAUCAAAGAUUAUGGCUCAUUGUCUGUUUAUGGGUUUUAUUCAAGAAGAACCGCUCCAUUAGAAAUAUCCAUUAAUGGCCUACCGCUUCGACUAGCCGAAUGGCCAAAUAAGAAUUUUAUAAAUAUAGCAACUGCGCCGAAUGGAAGAGAAGG